UUUGAUGGCGACCGGCGCACGGGUGAGUAACACGUAUCCAACCUGCCGAUGACUCGGGGAUAGCCUUUCGAAAGAAAGAUUAAUACCCGAUGGCAUAGUUCUUCCGCAUGGUAGAACUAUUAAAGAAUUUCGGUCAUCGAUGGGGAUGCGUUCCAUUAGGUUGUUGGCGGGGUAACGGCCCACCAAGCCUUCGAUGGAUAGGGGUUCUGAGAGGAAGGUCCCCCACAUUGGAACUGAGACACGAUCCAAACUCCUACGGGAGGCAGCAUG
rnacentral:rRNA from 1 species